CGGCCGUGGAGGGCUGCGCGGCCAAUCAGCGCGCUGGCUGCUCCGGGCUGAGUGGCACGAGCUUAUUAGUAUGCAGGGCCCGUGGCUCGCCGCGCCAGGCUGCAGGUUUGAGAGCCGCUCUGGAUGGGCUCGCUAGAGUCGUUGUUGUGGAAGCGGUGCAUUUACAGUGCAACAGUCAGCACAUUGAAAAUACCAAUAGGAAUACAAAACAAAGUCACAUUUACUGAUUUAAUUGUAUUGCAUUCAGUUGUAUCCAGGAAACAGCCUCCAACCAUGAACCCGCACAGCGGCCGCCGGCUCGGUGCGCGGCCACCCGCCGAGAAGCCCAGUCCUCCCGUGUGCUGACCGGCCCCGCCGCCACCACCGCCUGUGAUCCCGGACGCCGCC
rnacentral:lncRNA from 1 species